AUACGGAGGGGGCUAGCGUUGUUCGGAAUUACUGGGCGUAGAGCGCGCGUAGGCGGGCUGGUCAGUUGGGGGUGAAAUCCCGAGGCUUAACCUCGGAACUGCCCUCAAUACUGCCAGUCUUGAGUUCGAGAGAGGUGAGUGGAAUUCCUAGUGUAGAGGUGAAAUUCGUAGAUAUUAGGAAGAACACCAGUGGCGAAGGCGGCUCACUGGCUCGAUACUGACGCUGAGGCGCGAAAGCGUGGGGAGCAAACAGGAUUAGAAACCCCAGUAGUCC
rnacentral:rRNA from 1 species